CCUACGGGUGGCAGCAGUGAGGAAUAUUGGUCAAUGGACGAAAGUCUGAACCAGCCAAGUCGCGUGAAGGAUGACUGCCCUAUGAGUUGUAAACUGCUUUUGUAUAAGAGUAAAAUGGUACACGUGUAGUCUUUUGUAUGUACUAUAUGAAUAAGGAUCGGCUAACUCCGUGCCAGCAGCCGCGGUAAUACGGAGGAUCCGAGCGUUAUCCGGAUUUAUUGGGUUUAAAGGGAGCGUAGGUGGAUUGUUAAGUCAGUGGUGAAAGUUUGGGGCUCAACCGUAAAAUUGCAUUUGAUACUGGCAGUCUAGAGUAUAGUAGCGGUAGGCGGAAUGUGUGGUGUAGCGGUGAAAUGCUUAGAGAUCAUGCAGAACUCCGAUUGCGAAGGCAGCUCACCGAACUGCAACUGACAUUGAGGCUCGAAAGUGUGGGGAUCAAACAGGAUUAGAUACCCGGGUAGUC
rnacentral:rRNA from 1 species